ensembl:lncRNA
GUUGCGUUGGCAUGGCGCCCCCUGGUAGGGCGUUGAUACUCUUCCAGCCCAGCGUUUCUCAUGAUGUUCCUUGAGGGCCAGGUUUCUCAGGAAGCAACUCUGGAAGCCCGGGAAAAGAACAGUCCCUGCUGUGAGAUGGUUAGCAUGAUGAGAGCGGGGGUCUUUGGAAGUUGCAGGGGAUAUUUCGAUGGACUUUUCUGCGCUGGAGUGAAGGUUGGCAGACAUGCCCCACAGCCUCUCUGCAGACUGAAGUUGUCAGCAUGGGAUUGAAACGUAGGGUCUCUCAUUAAACCCAUGCUGAUUUGGUUA